AUGAACUGCGGAAGCGGUCCCGCUCCGGCGACGAUGGUGCGCUGCAGGCAGUGCAGCGCCAGCGUUGCCGCGCCGCCCGGUGCCCGUGCCGUCCAGUGCAUGCAGUGCUGCUGCGUUACCCGCGUCGGCGGGGGUGGCCGACAGCACGGGGCGAUGGUGCCGGCGAUGCGCCCCAUUCCGGGCUUCGGCGGCGGCCGCGGCAAGAAGCGCGCCGUGCUGGUCGGGAUCAAGUACACCAACACUCGCGCCUGCGAGCUGAGGGGCCCCAUCAACGACGUCAAGUGCAUGAGGUACCUCCUCACCGAGCACUUCGGCUUCGCCAACGACUGGGUCCUCAUCCUCACCGAUGAGGAGAGGGACCCGUGCAGGCAGCCGACAAAGAACAACAUCCGCAUGGCGAUGCACUGGCUGGUGCAGGGUUGCAGCUCCGGAGACUCCCUGGUGUUCCAGUUCUCCGGCGCUGGUGUGCAGGUCCCCGACUGCAGUGGCGAAGAACGUGACGGCAUGGACGAGGCCAUCUGCCCCCUGGACUCGUUCCAGCAGGGCCCCAUCCUGGACGACGAGAUCAACCAGGCCAUCGUACGCCCGCUCGUGCACGGUGUCAAGCUCCACGCCAUCGUCGACGCCUGCCACAGUGCCACCGUCCUCGAUCUCCCAUACCAGUGCACCUUCUCCAAGCAGUACGGGUGCUUGAGGUGGAGGGAUGAGCGCCCUCUGAACGGCGCCUUCAAAGGCACCAGCGGAGGCCAGGCCGUGCUCAUCAGUGGCAGCAGCAACGGAAAGACCCAGAUGAACAUGAUGCCUGGACCCGAUGCAACGGUUGGCGCCAUGACGCACAGCUUCAUCAGAGCAGUGGAGUGCGAGCCGCGCACCACCUACGGCCACCUGCUCACCUCCAUGAGGACCAUCAUGCGCGACGGCGGUGGCAACUGCAACCUGCAGGGCCCCGCCGGCGGCUGCGUCCGCAAGGUGGCCAACUUCAGCGGGGUGGAGGAGCCUCAGCUGUCUUCUGCUUGCAAGUUUGACAUCCACCGCGAGCCGUUCUGCAUGUAG
rnacentral:rRNA from 1 species